AUAAACAGUAAAUAUGUAAACCACAAACUCCCCGGGGUGCACACGGUGACGGGAGAGAGGUGCCUCAGCACCUGAUGCUCCUCUGCAGGGUGAGCUCCCCACGAACUACCAGAUCCUCAGCUACUAUUUCAUGUAUGUGGCCAGGUCUCAAAACACUCUAGGCUGCGUCUAGAAAAUUACUAACCUCCCCACUGCAAUUAAAUGUUGUAGUGAGGCUAAGGAAGUCAUUAUCCUGACGGUCUCUUGGGGGAACUGGUGAGGAGGUAAGCGAGGGCAGUUUCUGUCUUAAGAUAUACUGAGGAGCAGUAUCUGACAGACAUUUAAUGGGAGCCAAGUAAAAAUGUCCAGUGGAUACUUUCAGCUAAUGACAAACAAGUGAAGCUAAUUAUAAUAACAUAAUUUAACCAAUAAUACGUUAACAUUUCAAUGCAUGGCCCAUAUUAAAAAUGACCAGUGAACUCUUUUAUGAUGAUAUAAUUUAAUCCGUAGAAGACAUCGAAAAUCUGAAUGCAUUUGAAUAAUAUGAACACAGUCUAUAUUAGAAGUCAUCAGUGAACUAUUUUACAUUUUUCUUGGACUAACUAAGUUUUAGGGAUCCAGGAUAUAUUAUGAAUACAAAUCUCAGUCCAGAUGAGACAGAGGUCAAAAGAUCAGCAGCUGGGGGAGUCUGCUGGCCUUGGUAUUAGGUGACUGCUGUGUUGGGUGAGGUGAAGGAGCCAAUAUUCAUUCAGGAGGUGGGUCAUUCUGCCACACCAACCCCUGUGUUGGCAUCAAGACCCUGUCAUGAAUGAAAUGACAGCCCAGUGUGAUGGACCUCAAGAGAGCAAACCAAUCAUAUACACUCUGUGGGUUCUAGAUCAAAUAACUCUACAGAAGCUCGAAGUGAAGAGCUCCGUAAAGGAACUGUUGUGUGCUGGAGGUCGAUCGGCAGUAGAGAACUUGCCUUGUUCAUUCUUGAGCACUUAAAAAAGUCAGAAAGUUCAAAUAACAAGAAAGCGUUGGCUUAUACUCGGAAUCACUACGUAAUCGUGUAACUUUGGUUUUACAGAAAAAUAAACACCCUUAAAGGGGCAUUAAAUAGUUAAGUUCGCUGAAAAAAAAAAAA
rnacentral:sRNA from 1 species